rnacentral:rRNA from 1 species
GUAGGGAAUAUUGGACAAUGGGCGAAAGCCUGAUCCAGCCAUGCCGCGUGAUAGAUGAAGGCCCUCUGGGUUGUAAAUAUCUUUUAUCUGGGAAGAAACUCCUCUAUUCUUAGAGGCCUGACGGUACCAGAGGAAUAAGCACCGGCUAACUCCGUGCCAGCAGCCGCGGUAAUACGGAGGGUGCAAGCGUUAUCCGGAUUCACUGGGUUUAAAGGGUGCGUAGGCGGGUUGAUAGGUCAGUGGUGAAAGCUCCGGGCUUAACUUGGAAACUGCCAUUGUUACUGUCAGUCUGGAAUGUCGUAGAGGUAAGCGGAAUGUUGCAUGUAGCGGUGAAAUGCUUAGAUAUGUUACAGAACACCAAUUGCGAAGGCAGCUUACUAUGCGAUAAUUGACGCUGAGGCACGAAAGCGUGGGGAGCAAACAGGAUUAGAAACCCGUGUAGUCC